rnacentral:rRNA from 1 species
UACGGAGGGUGCAAGCGUUAUCCGGAUUCACUGGGUUUAAAGGGUGCGUAGGAGGGCAGGUAAGUCAGUGGUGAAAUCCCCGUGCUUAACAUGGGAACUGCCGUUGAUACUAUCUGUCUUGAAUACCGUGGAGGUGAGCGGAAUAUGUCAUGUAGCGGUGAAAUGCUUAGAUAUGACAUAGAACACCGAUUGCGAAGGCAGCUCGCUACACGAAUAUUGACUCUGAGGCACGAAAGCGUGGGGAUCAAACAGGAUUAGAUACCCCCGUAGUCC